UCCUGAGUGGCUCAGUCGGUUGAGUGUCUGACUUUGGCUCAGGUCAUGAUCUCACGAUUUGUGGGUUCAAGCCCCACGUCAGGCU
rnacentral:tRNA from 1 species